rnacentral:rRNA from 1 species
CCUACGGGAGGCAGCAGUGGGGAAUUUUGGACAAUGGGGGCAACCCUGAUCCAGCCAUUCCGCGUGAGUGAAGAAGGCCUUCGGGUUGUAAAGCUCUUUCGCAAGGGAAGAAAACUUAUGAUCGAAUAAAUCAUGAGGUUGACGGUACCUUGAUAAGAAGCACCGGCUAACUACGUGCCAGCAGCCGCGGUAAUACGUAGGGUGCGAGCGUUAAUCGGAAUUACUGGGCGUAAAGCGUGCGCAGGCGGUUCUGUAAGUCGGAUGUGAAAUCCCCGGGCUCAACCUGGGAACUGUGUUCGAAACUGCAAGGCUAGAGUGUGUCAGAGGGGGGUAGAAUUCCACGUGUAGCAGUGAAAUGCGUAGAGAUGUGGAGGAAUACCAAUGGCGAAGGCAGCCCCCUGGGAUAACACUGACGCUCAUGCACGAAAGCGUGGGGAGCAAACAGGAUUAGAUACCCUGGUAGUCCACGCCCUAAACGAUGUACAACUAGUUGUUGGUAGAGUAAAUCUAUGAGUAACGUAGACUACGCGUGAGUAGACGCCGNGGGAGGUACGGUCGGUCGAGAAGUUAAACGUUAACGUAAAGUUAAGUUAGUAGACGNGNGAGAGCGACGACGACGACGACGGAGGAGGAGG